rnacentral:rRNA from 2 species
AAACGACUCUCGGCAACGGAUAUCUCGGCUCACGCAUCGAUGAAGAACGUAGCAAAAUGCGAUACUUGGUGUGAAUUGCAGAAUCCCGUGAACCAUCGAGUUUUUGAACGCAAGUUGCGCCCGAAGCCUUUCGGUUGAGGGCACGUCUGCCUGGGCGUCACGC